rnacentral:rRNA from 1 species
GAUGAACGCUGGCGGCGUGCCUAAUACAUGCAAGUCGAGCGAACGGACGAGAAGCUUGCUUUUCUGAUGUUAGCGGCGGACGGGUGAGUAACACGUGGAUAACCUACCUAUAAGACUGGGAUAACUUCGGGAAACCGGAGCUAAUACCGGAUAAUAUUUUGAACCGCAUGGUUCAAAAGUGAAAGACGGUCUUGCUGUCACUUAUAGAUGGAUCCGCGCUGCAUUAGCUAGUUGGUAAGGUAACGGCUUACCAAGGCAACGAUGCAUAGCCGACCUGAGAGGGGGGUUGGCCACCACGGGAACUGAGACCCGGCCCAAACCCCACGGGGGGGGAGAGGGAGGGAACUUUCCGCAAUGGGCGAAAGCCUGACGGAGAAACGCCGGGUGAGUGAUGAAGGUUUUCGGAUCGUAAAACUUUUUUUUUGGGGAAAAAAAAAUGUGUAAGUAAUGGUCAAAAUCUUGACGAUACCAAAGCAAAAAGCCCCGGUAAACUACGG